rnacentral:rRNA from 1 species
UUUACCAGAAGUGGCUAGUCUAACCGCAAGGAGGACGGUCACCACGGUAGGAUUCAUGACUGGGGUGAAGUCGUAACAAGGUAGCCGUAUCGGAAGGUGCGGCUGGAUCACCUCCUUU